UCCGGUUGAUCCCGCCGGACCCUACUGCUAUCGGGGUGGGACUAAGACAUGCGAGUUGAGCGUCUCUAGCUAUGUUGAGACGCGGCAUACGGCUCAGUAACACGUGGCUAACCUACCCUCAGGACGGGGACAAACCCGGGAAACUGGGGCUAAUACCAGAUAGGCGAGGACGCCUGGAAUGGUUUCUCACCCAAAGGAUUUUGAAAACACGCUUUUCAAAGUCGCCUGGGGAUGGGGCCGCGUCCGAUCAGGUUGUUGGUGAGGUAACGGCUCACCAAGCCUAUAACCGGUACGGGCCGUGAGAGCGGUAGCCCGGAGAUGGGCACUGAGACAAGGGCCCAGGCCCUACGGGGCGCAGCAGUCGCGAAAACUCCGCAAUGCACGAAAGUGUGACGGGGCUACCCCGAGUGCCGUCCGCUGAGGAUGGCUUUUCCUCGGUGUAACUAGCCGGGGGAAUAAGGAAGAGGGCAAGACUGGUGUCAGCCGCCGCGGUAAAUACCAGCUCUCCGAGUGGUAGGGAUGAUUAUUGGGCUUAAAGCGUCCGUAGCUGGCUUAGCAAGUCUCCUGUUAAAUUCAGCGACCUAAUCGUUGAGCCGCGGGAGAUACUACUAGGCUGGGAGGCGGGAGAGGUCUACGGUACUUUCGGGGUAGGGGUGAAAUCCUAUAAUCCCGGGAGGACCACCAGUGGCGAAGGCUGUCGACUAGAACGCGCUCGACGGUGAGGGACGAAAGCUGGGGGAGCGAACCGGAUUAGAUACCCGGGUAGUCCCAGCUGUAAACGAUGCGGGCUAGGUGUUGGUGUGGCUACGGGCCACUUCAGUGCCGCAGGGAAGCCAUUAAGCCCGCCGCCUGGGGAGUACGGCCGCAAGGCUGAAACUUAAAGGAAUUGGCGGGGGAGCACCACAAGGCGUGAAGCUUGCGGUUCAAUUGGAUUCAACGCCGGG
rnacentral:rRNA from 1 species